UGCUGGCUUCCGCAGCAGGUACCUAACCCUGGAACCUACAGGGGAGACCAGCAUGGCCCCUGUGCAAGGAUGACACUCAGGUUCAGGAAGUCGUCCGUACUUGC